AGGACGAACGCUGGCGGCGUGCUUAACACAUGCAAGUCACGGGGGCCCGCAAGGGUAACCGGCGAACGGGUGCGUAACACGUGAACAACCUGCCCUCGUGUGGGGGAUAGCCGGGCUAACGCCCGGGUAAUACCGCAUACGGUCAUCGAGAGGAGUCUCUUGGUGAAGAAAGCUCCGGCGCACGGGGAGGGGUUCGCGGCCUAUCAGCUAGUUGGCGGGGUAAUGGCCCACCAAGGCGACGACGGGUAGCUGGUCUGAGAGGAUGGCCAGCCACAUUGGGACUGAGAGACGGCCCAGACUCCUACGGGAGGCAGCAGUGGGGAAUCUUGCGCAAUGGGGGAAACCCUGACGCAGCGACGCCGCGUGCGGGAUGAAGGCCUUCGGGUUGUAAACCGCUUUCAGCAGGGACGAAUUGACGGUACCUGCAGAAGAAGGCCCGGCCAACUACGUGCCAGCAGCCGC
rnacentral:rRNA from 1 species